rnacentral:rRNA from 1 species
UACGGGGGGGGCAAGCGUUGUUCGGAAUUACUGGGCGUAAAGGGCUCGUAGGCGGCCAACUAAGUCAUACGUGAAAUCCCUCGGCUUAACCGGGGAACUGCGUCUGAUACUGGAUGGCUUGAGUUCGGGAGAGGGAUGCGGAAUUCCAGGUGUAGCGGUGAAAUGCGUAGAUAUCUGGAGGAACACCGGUGGCGAAGGCGGCAUCCUGGACCAAUUCUGACGCUGAGGAGCGAAAGCCAGGGGAGCAAACGGG